rnacentral:rRNA from 1 species
AAACGUAGGAGGCGAGCGUUAUCCGGAUUUACUGGGCGUAAAGCGUGUGCAGGCGGUUUGAUAAGUUGGAUGUGAAAGCUCCUGGCUUAACCGGGAGAGGUCGUUCAAAACUAUCAGACUAGAGAGUGGUAGAGGGAGAUGGAAUUCCGCGUGUAGUGGUGAAAUGCGUAGAUAUGCGGAGGAACACCAGUGGCGAAAGCGGUCUCCUGGCCCAUUUCUGACGCUCAGACACGAAAGCUAAGGUAGCAAACGGGAUUAGAGACCCCGGUAGUCUUAGCUGUAAACGAUGUGAACUUAGUGUCGGUGGGGUUAAAUCCAUCGGUACUGAAGCUAACGCGAUAAGUUCACCGCCUGGGGACUACGGCCGCAAGGUUAAA